rnacentral:misc_RNA from 1 species
AACGCACAUUGCGCCCGCCAGUAUUCUGGCGGGCAUGCCUGUUCGAGCGUCAUUUCAACCCUCGUGCCCCCUCCGGGGGGCGCGGUGUUGGGGCUCGGCCCGCCCGUCGUGGCGCGCCGUCCCUGAAAUCUAGUGGCGGUCUCGCGAUAGCCUCCUCUGCGUAGUAGCAAUAUCUCGCACUGGGGCCGAUCGGGGCCACGCCGUUAAACCCCCCACUUCUGAAAGGUUGACCUCGGAUCAGGUAGGAAUACCCGCUGAACUUAA